rnacentral:ncRNA from 1 species
GUCCUUCAAAGGCAAAUCCCGGGAAACCGGGAAUUGCGCAAAACUAUAGGUUCUAAAACCGAUAAGGUUAUGAACGCCAGGUUACCAGG